CCUGGCUUAGGACGAACGCUGGCGGCGUGCCUAAUACAUGCAAGUCGAACGGUCUUUCUAUGGAAGCUUGCUUCCACUGAGAAGAUAGUGGCGAACGGGUGAGUAACACGUGGGUAACCUGCCCAUAAGAGGGGGAUAACAUCCGGAAACGGGUGCUAAUACCGCAUAGUUUUCUUGAUCGCAUGAUUGAGAAAGGAAAGACGGCCUUUGUGCUGUCGCUUAUGGAUGGACCCGCGGCGUAUUAGUUAGUUGGUGAGGUAACGGCUCACCAAGACGAUGAUACGUAGCCGACCUGAGAGGGUGAUCGGCCACAUUGGGACUGAGACACGGCCCAAACUCCUACGGGAGGCAGCAGUAGGGAAUCUUCCGCAAUGGACGAAAGUCUGACGGAGCAACGCCGCGUGAGUGAAGAAAAGGUUUUCGGAUCGUAAAACUCUGUUGUCAGAGAGGAACAAGUUGGAGAGUAACUGCUCCAGCCUUGACGGUAUCUGACCAGAAAGCCACGGCUAACUACGUGCCAGCAGCCGC
rnacentral:rRNA from 1 species